rnacentral:hammerhead_ribozyme from 1 species
AUCCAGCUGACCAGUGCCAAACAGGACGAAGCAUGCGUCUUAGAU